rnacentral:rRNA from 1 species
CCUACGGGUGGCAGCAGUGAGGAAUAUUGGUCAAUGGACGGAAGUCUGAACCAGCCAUGCCGCGUGCAGGAAGACGGCUCUAUGAGUUGUAAACUGCUUUUGUACAAGGGUAAACCUGAACACGUGUCUCCAGCUGAAUGUACUGUAUGAAUCAGGAUCGGCUAACUCCGUGCCAGCAGCCGCGGUAAUACGGAGGAUACAAGCGUUGUCCGGAUUUAUUGGGUUUAAAGGGUGCGUAGGCGGCUUGAUAAGUUAGAGGUGAAAUGGCCGGGCUUAACUCGGGAACUGCCGCUGAUACUGGUGAACUAGAGAGUAGAUGAGGUAGGCGGAAUGUAUGGUGUAGCGGUGAAAUGCUUAGAGAUCAUACAGAACACCGAUUGUGAAGGC